rnacentral:rRNA from 1 species
UACGUAGGGUGCAAGCGUUGUCCGGAAUUAUUGGGCGUAAAGAGCUCGUAGGCGGUUUGUCGCGUCUGCUGUGAAAACUCGGGGCUUAACUCCGGGCCUGCAGUGGGUACGGGCAGACUAGAGUGCGGCAGGGGAGACUGGAAUUCCUGGUGUAGCGGUGAAAUGCGCAGAUAUCAGGAGGAACACCGGUGGCGAAGGCGGGCCUCUGGGCCGUAACUGACGCUGAGGAGCGAAAGCGUGGGGAGCGAACGGG